rnacentral:lncRNA from 10 species
AAGUAAAAGAAAACUGCAAAACUUUGUAAAGGCAUCUUUUCUAAAACUCUUCUAGUGGCAGCUCUAAAUAUCAGUUGGACUGGUACUGAAGAAAAAACAGGACAAAAAGGCCAGAAGGGCUCGCCCCACAGCAAAUUAGAAGUUAAUUUGCAUGAGAGCAAGAGCCUUUGCUGUCCUGUUUUACAUCGUUGAUGCCUAAAUGAAAAGAAUGAAAGAAGAUGGAGAGAUCUGAGUACAACCAUCAAGUGAAGGCGUAACCAAGGGAGGCUUGAGCAUACACGUAGACAGAGGGGAGGAAUCUUGUGGAAUAGAAGAGGAUAGAGACACAGAAGAGAGGAUUCAUUGGUGAAAUGAAGCCUCAUGCAUGUUAAUGGG